rnacentral:rRNA from 1 species
GACGAACGCUGGCGGCGUGCUUAACACAUGCAAGUCGAACGGUGAUGGGUGGAGCUUGCUCUGCUUUGAUCAGUGGCGAACGGGUGAGUAACACGUGAGUAACCUGCCCCAGACUCUGGAAUAACCCCGGGAAACCGGUGCUAAUACCGGAUAGGACCCUGUACCGCAUGGUGUGGGGUGGAAAGUUUUUCGGUUUGGGAUGGACUCGCGGCCUAUCAGCUUGUUGGUGAGGUAAUGGCUCACCAAGGCGUCGAUGGGUAGCCGGCCCGAGAGGGUGACCGGACACACUGGGACUGAGACACGGCCCAGACUCCUACGGGAGGCAGCAGUGGGGAAUAUUGCACAAUGGGCGCAAGCCUGAUGCAGCAACGCCGCGUGCGGGAUGACGGCCUUCGGGUUGUAAACCGCUUUUAGUAAGGAAGAAGGGGAGCUUGCUCCUUGACGGUACUUGCAGAAAAAGGACCGGCUAACUACGUGCCAGCAGCCGCCGUAAUAC